rnacentral:rRNA from 1 species
AUUGAACGCUGGCGGCAGGCCUAACACAUGCAAGUCGAACGAGUGGCGGACGGGUGAGUAAUGUCUGGGAAACUGCCUUAUGGCGGGGGUUAACUAUUGGAACCGGUAGCUAAUACCGCAUACCCUCAGAUGUGCCCAGAUGGGAGUAGCUGGUGGGUGGGGUAACGGCUCACCAAGGCGACGAUCCCUAGCGGGUCGGAGAGGAUGACCAGCCACACUGGAACUGAGACACGGUCCAGACUCCUACGGGAGGCAGCAGUGGGGAAUAUUGCACAAUGGGCGCAAGCCUGAUGCAGCCAUGCCGCGUGUAUGAAGAAGGUCUUCGGGUUGUAAAGUACUUUCAGCGGGGAGGCGUUACCCGCAGAGGAAGCACCGGCUAACUCCGUGCCAGCAGCCGCGGUAAUAC